GUUUUCUGACCUAAAUCAAGUGGGUCGCCAGGACGGGCUUCAAUGGAUAGAGAGAAGAGCUGUUGGCUUAGGGAAAGGUCCAGAAGAGGGACUUGCACACGGGACGGUGUAGGCAAGGCACGGGUCUUAGUUUUCUGCAGGGCUUCCUCCGAGCCGGUUUGCUCUUUUUGAGCUAUGUCUUCUCAUCGUGGAAUGGCCGAGGUUGGCGUGUCCCUUACCCCCUAAACUCCCUACAUUUUGUGCAGGGGCACUUAGAGAGAUCAUAUGGCAGCGGUGGCUUCCCUCAAGGCCCAAGGUUGGUUUCAAGGCUUUCUGUCCUGUGGUCAUCCAGGGCAGAAGGAGGCUGGCAGGAUGCGACGACGCUGGGAAAUGCUGUUCUACCGGACCGUGGGGCUAGGUGCAUGCAUGCAACUCACAUGGCUCACGGAAAAGCCAAGAACAGGCAGCGGGUUCGAAAAGAUUGCCACUGAGUUCGCAGAGAUUCCUCUUGCCACGAUGCCAGGAUCGCAAAGUGUCCUUAAUUUGCUCUUCUAACAGAGUCGUGUUUGUUGAUGAAAUGACCGGCUUGCUGACAAAGAGGGGGCACAAAUGGAGGCACAGAAUUAGGCCCUUCUUUGGCAUUUGGAGGAAGCUGGGGGUAUGUGUGGAGGUCAGAGGAUAGCUUCCCAUGUCAGUCCUGGGGAUGUCACUCAGGCCAUCAGACUCAUUCUAUCUGCUCAGUCAUCUCAUCAGCACAGUAUCUUCAUCUUCAUCUCCUUUUCUUCCUCCUCCUUUUUUUUGUUUUUUGUUUGUUUUUGUGUUUUUCGAGACAGGGUCUCCCUCUGUAGCCCUGACUGUCCUGAAGCUCACUAUGUGGACCCAGGUGAUCUCAAACUCAGAGACUUACCUGUCACUGCCCUCUGAGUGCUGGGAUUAAAAGUGUGUACUGCCACAUCUGGUUUAUUUUUCUUAUAAGUAAAUGUACAUUUAUAUUUAAUAAGCUCCCUAAGAGUAGAUUUUACUUUUUUAUUGUUUAUUUGAGGUGAUAUAUUACUAUGUAGCCUAGAAAGGCCUCAAACUUUCAGUUGUUUGGCCUCAGCCUCUUAAGCACUUGGGACCACUUUUUGUUGAAAUUAUAUGUACAUAGAAAAAAAUGUUGUAUGCAAAGACACCAAAAUGUUGUGAUUAUAACUGAGUAGUUACCGGUAUUAUGGAUAUUUUUCUUUUUCUUUUUUAACUGUUUUUUUGCAGUAUGAUUACAUUGUUUUCUCACAAUUAGAACAGAUUUAUAACUUGAAAAGUGCAUAAUCAGUAGUAUUCUACUUGUAGUAAAAUUAUGAAUGCAAAUUGAAAAAAAUGGGAAGGAAGUAUAUUGAACUAUUAACAGUCUUUAUAUUAGUUGCUAAGGGAUUGUGGGUAAUUUCUUCUCAUUUUUCUGUAAUAUAGUCUUAUUAUUUUUAUAAUUAAAAUAAAAUGAUACCUAUAAAUAGCAUAUACAAUAUGAUCCAACUUUUGUUAAAAAUUAAUAUGUGCAUAGAAAAACUAAUAGGUUAUUUUGAAAUAUGUUUGUCUUUGUGUGGUAGGGUAUGACUAUUUUUUUCUUUAUGAAUUGUUUCUUCAUUUUCCAAAUUUUCUACAGCUAUCAUGUAUUAUUUUUAAUUGUGAAAAAUGUAAAUAUUUAUAAAGCAGUUUAAUAUUGGAGUUUUUAUGAGGAAAGGGUGCCUAUCUGGGAUUUGCUUUGAAGCCAGAGGAGAGUGGGGGUGGGGACCAUAGAUCAAAUGAUUGAAUUGUUGACUAUAGGUGCAUGAGGCUGCAUUGUGAUGUUUUCUUUGUGAAUGCUUGAAUUUUUCAUAAUGAAUAUUGUUCUUAAGAAGCCUCUUUCACAAAAACCAUUUCUUUUUAAUUCUAGAUUUGGUGCUUUGGAUCAGCGACAUGGAAGGAGCAGAGUGUGCAGUGAGGGGGAGAAAGAAGGGAAAGACGCACGCAAGCUGGUAAUAGGAAUGUCACAGGACCAGAAAAGUCUAGCUGGAAUACUGCAAUAUCUUUUGCACUCUACCUGUUCAUCCAUUUGUGAGUAGAAAGUCAGAUCUCUACUCAUAUGACUGAAGUCCCUCUGGAAGGACUCUCUGGGCUCUUCAGAAUAAGUGUCCCUCCUUUUAGAGUUUUGUCAACAUUUGUUGCCCAGCCACGGCUCUGAAGGCUUGCACUUUUGCUCUUCCAAUGUCUCCUCUAAAACGGAAGCCCGGACAGCAUGCACACUUCUGUAGGAAAACAACAGACUGGCUUUUGGUGAUCGCAGAAAGGCAUGUGAAGAUACUUUGACUACUCAUGCAAAGGGGAAGGAUGGGAAGACCCACCAUCCACAAAGGCCUUAUGCAGGCCCUUGCCAGAUGAUGGAAUCAUGCUGUUGGACUCCUCAACCUUCAAUACUGAUUUUUGAGAGGCUGGACUAAAGAAUUGCUCUGCCAAGGACCUGAAAAUGAUAAAGCUGAAGCAUCAGUGAGGGGUCUGACUCAUGGAAGGAAGGGAGUCACGUCAAAGAAAUUGAGUGAAAUUAUAAGCAACAUCGCACCCUUUUCAUACCUGUGAAGUUCUGCUUUUGUCAUAUACUUGAAGUCAAACCAUGUCAACAUACUUUGAAUGAAGAAGCAGGCACAGAAUUUUGUAGUCACUAACUACAAAGGAUUUUAGAACUUUCUCAUCAUGCCGUCUCAUGUAUUUCUGGAUGGCCUCAAACUCCCUUUGUAGCAAAGGACAACCUGAGUAACAAAGAUGCUGCCUCUUUCCAGAAUUAUCUUCCACAGUUCUGUACUUUCUACUUCCACUGGCCUCACAUGUGGAACAACUACAUCUCCUUGUCGGCUGCAUUAUUAUUCUCGUAAUGAACUCUCAUCAGAUUUUUCCCUUUUGAAAAUGAGCAGUAAUAAGGCUGCUUUUUAUGUUUUCCUUCAAUGCUUCCCUGAAAGUACCUACCACUGGCUCUAAGCCAGAGGGCUUUUAUUUUGGAAUCAGCUGAAAAUACAGUUUGGCUCUGAUAGUAUACAACAAAAAUAUCAGCCAACAUUUAUCAAGUGCUAGCCUGUGCCAAGAACUGUACUAAAUGCUUUCAAUGGUGUUGACUCAAUCAAUUCUCACAACAGCGAUGUGAGAGGGAAAGAAGCAAGGAAGAAUUCCCACAGCUUCCAGGUCAGAGUCAACAGUGUCUGCCUUGCCUGGUCUUGGUCUAAUGGAGUUCAGGAGGCUAGCUAACUCUCACUGAGAGAAGCAGCAAGAUUAAGUCACAUCCACUCUUCUGUGCUUAUUACUAAAGCAGCAAUGUACAGCUCCUCAUUUUCAUGAGGUUUUAGUUGCUGGCGCUUACUACAGAGUCCAAUGAACUACACCAUGGAUGAGUGAGAGGUGCCAGCCUGGGGAAGGACUGAGUAACACGGGACAAGGACAUGCCAUCCAUGGAUGAAAUAAGGUGUCCGACUUUGGUGGGGAGAUGAUGUGGCUGGCUUGGCAUCCAGAUCUCCUUUUCAUGCAGUUAUCUACAUGUUGGCAGCGUGGCUAUCAAACAGUCAGAAUUUGGAGCCAGAGAACUGGAUUCCUUUUCUAACUCUAGACUUCCUACUUCUAUAACUUCAGGUAAUAUAUAAGGAUAACAUGUUAGCUAUGGAAGCAAUUAUCUGUACUCAUAGUACAGGAGGAUGAUGAGUGUGAGGCCAGCCUGGGCUACAUUUCAAGUUCUAGAUCAAACUGACUUCAGUAAGUCCCUGUCUCAAAGAAAAAGAGAAGUCAAAUAUAAAAAGGUUUUAUUUAUUGAGCAGGGUACUAUGCAUGGGAGUUUGCAAGUCUGUACACGCACAGAGGCCAGAGAAGGAUGCCACACGUCCUGCUCUGUAACUCUCAUGCACAUUCACUUGAGACAAAGAGUCUCUCAUUGAACCUGAACCUGGAGUUAGACUGGCGAUCAGCAAGCCCCACCAAUUAUUCAGUCUCUUGUCUACCCCUGCCAAGACAUUGAGCUUACAGGCGGUCUCUUACAGUUAUCUCCCAGAGGAAGGAAAGACGGAGGAAAAGCCUGGACCCUCUCAAUCAGCUCCUCACAAUAAAGGACAAACGGAACAAGAAUAAAGGAAGGCAUAGGCUUCGAUCAGAGAGUGGACCAUACUGGCCUGAAACAGCAUCAAAGAAAGGCAGAGCAGUCUCCUUAAGGUUCAAUGUACUGAAAUGCCAUUAAAUACACUUAAGACAAACACAGAGUCUCAAAAUCGCCAAGAUUCGAAGCUCCCCAGCUUUACUAACGCAAGUGAUGGAAUACUCUCUCCUAACAGUUUGUGGUCCAGGACCCCCUAUUGGUAACUCCGCUCACCUCUGCGCCAAUCCUUCCCCUCCCCCGCCCCCCGCCCCCAC
rnacentral:lncRNA from 1 species